rnacentral:rRNA from 1 species
CACGUAGGGGGCGAGCGUUGUCCGGAUUCAUUGGGCGUAAAGGGCGCGCAGGCGGCUCGGAAAGUCGGGUGUGAAAACUCGGGGCUCAACCCCGGGCGUGCAUCCGAUACUGCCGGGCUUGAGGCAGGUAGGGGAGAUCGGAAUUCCUGGUGUAGCGGUGAAGUGCGCAGAUAUCAGGAGGAACACCGGUGGCGAAGGCGGAUCUCUGGGCCUGUCCUGACGCUGAGGCGCGAAAGCUAGGGGAGCGAACAGG